rnacentral:rRNA from 1 species
GACGAACGCUGGCGGCGUGCCUAAUACAUGCAAGUCGAACGCAGGGGGGACGGGGGAGUAACACGUGGGUAACCUCCCAUCAGAGGGGAUAACACUUGGAAACAGGUGCUAAACCGAUACUGAUUGAUGGACCCGCGGUGCUUUAGCGAGUUGGUGAGGUAACGGCUCACCAAGGCCACGAUGCUUAGCCGACCUGAGAGGGUGACCGGCCACACUGGGACGGGGACACGGCCCAGACUCCUACGGGAGGCAGCAGUGGGGAAUCUUCGGCAAUGGACGAAAGUCGGACGCAGCAACGCCGCGUGAGUGAAGAAGGUUUUCGGAUCGUAAAGCUCUGUUGUUGGAGAAGCGGUAUCUAACCAGAAAGCCACGGCUAACUACGUGCCAGCAGCCGCGGUAAUAC